GAAUAUUGCACAAUGGGCGCAAGCCUGAUGCAGCGACGCCGCGUGAGGGAUGAAGGCUUUCGGGUCGUAAACCUCUUUCAGUGGGGAAGAAGCGCAAGUGACGGUACCCACACAAGAAGGCCCGGCCAACUACGUGCCAGCAGCCGCGGUAAUACGUAGGGGCCAAGCGUUAUCCGGAUUUAUUGGGCGUAAAGAGCUCGUAGGCGGUUUGGUAAGUCGGUCGUGAAAGUCCGAGGCUCAACCUCGGAAUGCCGGUCGAUACUGCCAUGACUAGGGUUCGGUAGAGGAGAGUGGAAUUCUCGGUGUAGCGGUGAAAUGCGCAGAUAUCGAGAGGAACACCAGUAGCGAAGGCGGCUCUCUGGGCCGAUACCGACGCUGAGGAGCGAAAGCGUGGGGAGC
rnacentral:rRNA from 1 species